rnacentral:sRNA from 1 species
NGGGGGAGGUUCGACUCGAGCGAAGCGAGAGAACGUUGCGCCAGCAACGGCCCGCAGGGCGAGCCACGAAGUGGCGAGUA